GUAGUGAAGGGUUAACCUUCUGUGACUCGAGCCUGAGAGGAGGUGUGUACAAGGGAAGUACGCCAGGACGUGACGAAAGCAGCUUGGAAUGCUGUGAGCUGAGUGAAAAUCGAAAACAGGUUGUUGCGUCGCUGCACUGAGAGAGAAGGACGCAGAGAAAAUGCAGCUCCACUCUGAUGGCUGUUAUGGAUUGUAAAUAAGCUAUUUUGUUCCCAAUAAAGAGAAAUUAGGAUAGAAGAAACGUUUGGACUUAUUUAGUGCCCUUUCGACACACAGAUGCUGUGUAAUUCUGCUAAUUGCUUUACGACCGCUCCAAAGCCACACUGCGUAAACAGAAGCUGCAGAGGCCCACAGGGGAAGCGUGGCUGGGCACCAAACAAUAAAGCAAUAAAUCUAUCGGAAGAGGUUAUGGGUCAACGCCAAGAGUGUAAGAAAGGGCUUUGAAGACUUUAAAAGACUGAACGUCAGCUUGAUCGACUGCCAAGGCUUCAAAUAGAGCAGAGGGCAGAUUGGAGGAGGCUGAUGGAGAGGGAGCUGAGAGCCACGUCGUCCAGAGUGCCCGGUUUAGCUGCAGAGUGAGUAUUAUCGGCUGCUCUUGCAAAAGGCCAACAGAAGGGAAGGGAGGUAAUGGCUCAGCCCCAUGCACAGGCUUUGAGUUUAAACUGCCGUGUCAGAAACUGACUAGUCAAAAUUGGCUGCAGUGGAGCUUUCAAGUGGAGCUGUUGCUGGUGGGGGAGCAGCUAUGGGACGUAGUCCAGCCCCCACAGAACGCAGCUGGGAAAGCAGAGGCUAAGAGGGCUGCAGAGCAAAGUGAAGUGGAAAAGCGUGUGCUUGCUUUUUUGGCAGAAAAUGUAGAUGCUCAUCUAGUGCCAGUAGUCCUGGGUGCAAGAAGGCCAGAGGCCGCUUGGCAAUCACUCCGAGAGGCUUGUGGAGCUGGGGUGGGAAGCAAGGGCUGAGACGUGGCUGCCCCAAGGAAAGAGAGGCAAGAUGGCGCCGGCCACAUUCUUGAGAGCCGAUACACAGCUGGGAGGAGCUGGGAGCCCCCACGGGAGGGCGAAGGGACUGUUGCUGUUGCUGGCAAUGCUGCUGGUGCUUUUGCUGAGCCUGGGAGCUGUAUGGAUGCUGCAACGUGUCUGUGUGAGGAGCCAGGAGAGAGGCCAAGAGUUGGGAGCCCUUAACCCAUCAGAGGGGGUGCAUGAAAACGUCCUGGAGGCCCCGUGAGUAGUGGGGGGGGCAGUGAGCAGUGAAAGCUCAGAGACGCCUCUUUCUCCAAAAGCUGCCAAGAGUUGUUUAUGCCAAGAGCUGAAGCCUAGCCGUGCUGGAGGCGCCAAGGCCGGCCACCUGCAGCAAAGACAGAUAAGAGCUUCGGAGUUGUGUGGGAACGCUGAGACAAGUCCGGUCUCCAAGGCAACUGAGAGAGUUGCAUCUACGGAAGCUGUGAAGGUCGUGGGCAAGUCUCCCUGCCGGGGGGAGUCUGUUGCCGUGACAACCAGAGAGAACAUCUGCAGAAGCCCCAAGGAGGGGGGUAGCGAGGAGAUUGUUGCCAUGGCGACCCAGGAAUGUCAACAACAAGACUUUCUCACUGUAAUAAUCGACUCUGGUGCCACAAACACGCUGGUGCCAUCUAGUGGUCUUUUAAGAAAUUGCAGGACAGUAAAAAACUGAAAGAUUUGUGAUGAUCGCGGAUGGAAGCAGAAAAAGACUAACAGAGACAGGCUUUUUCUUCUGUCCCUUUCUUAAGCAUGAAGUCAAAGCUUUUGCGGUGCCUGGUUUAACUAACUGUUUAUUAAGUGUGCAUGAUCUACUUGCACAUGAUGGUUUUCAUGUGUCUUUUGCAGGUACCAAGUGUGAGUUUUCCAAGGAUGGGAAACACGUGUACACAGUGCAGUCUAAAGACAAUUUGUUUGCUGUAAAUGUGCCUUUUUCUACAGGAGAGGAUGACACCGAAGAUGCAAAGGGGCAAUGUGUGAAUAUGGCGCCCCACCAUGGUUGUUCGCAUAUUUGGCACCAACGCUUCGCCCAUUUGAAUUGGAGAUAUCUUCAGAAAGCACCAGAGCUGACACAAGGGUGCAAAUUUAAUGUUUGCGACAAAUUUUUAGAUUGCAAUGCAUGUAAACAAGCGAAAAUUGUGACAUGCUCAUAUCCAAAGUCAGAGAGGCAGACCACACAACCCUUUGAGUUAAUUCAUGCAGAUUUGUGUGGACCCAUGUCAGUUGAGUCACUGGGAGGAUCAAAGUAUUCUCUGCUUCUGGUUGAUGAUUUCUCGAGGUCUGCUUGGACCUUUGCCCUGAAAACAAAAGGGGAGGCGGCUAAAAUGAUCAGGGAUUGGAUCACCGCAGUUGAGGUAACCUUUUCCACCAGAGUGCGUGGCUUUCAAAGUGGCAGAGGUUCUGAAUUCACUGGUUCUGCUUUACAGGAUUUCUUUAGGGAGAAGGGGAUUAGCCACAGACUGACCGCUCCUUACUCUCCGCAACAGAAUGGGAUUGCAGAGAGAAAGAACAGGACGGUGGAGGAAGCUGUGUCUGCGAUCCUGUGGGACGCAGGGCUACCCCGGAAAUAUUGGUCUGAAGCUUGGAGAUUUGUGGUCCAUACGCAGAAUAGAGUGUGCAACUCUAGUGUAGGAAAUACGCCAUAUUUCUUGCUGCAUGGAAAGAAGCCUAAGGUACACUACCUUCGUGUGUUUGGUUGUGAGGCUUGGGUGCUUAUUCCAAAGGCUCUACACAAGAAAGGUGAGCCAAGAUCUAAAAGAAUGAUCUUUGUAGGGUAUGAGCCUGGCUCAAAGGCCUGGCGGUUUGCGUACCCAAGUGGAAACUAGUCUAGGUUGGUUAUCAGCAAUAGCGCUGAGUUCUGUGAACAAGCUGGUUGGAAGCGCCUGCACGCUAAUCCAGACAUGAUUUCACAGCAGUUCUUUUUUGUUGUUGUUUAUGUUUUAUUCAUACAUUUAUUUGAGCACACACAUUUCAUUAAUCCAUAGCUUGGCCAUGUUUGCACAAGAUGCUUCUAAGCAAUUGUUUACCUUAACAUUAGCAAUUAUUGAUUCCCUUUUUAUUCUUUAUUUGCCUCUCAUAAACAAACAAACAGACAGACAGGCAGACAGACACAUGCCUGCUAGGCUACUGGGCAUAGAAGCGAAGCUGAUCGCUUAGGGUGAUAAAAUUAACCACAAUAACUUUGCAAGGUACACAUUGCAAGGUACGCAGAAUGUAGCUAGCGGCUGUGAACAUGAGCAUAUCUAUAUACCUGUUGGUUAAGCACCUGUCUUUAUCAGAUAAGAAACUGACUUGACCUUAUAUGAAGGAACAGUCAGCGGUUAGGGCAGGCAUAGGCAAACUCGGCUCCCCAGAUGUUCUGGGACCACAACUCCCAUCAUCCCUGACCACUGGUCCUGUGAGCUAGGGAUGAUGGGAGCUGUAGUCCCAAAACAUCUGUAGGGCCGCGCUUCCCUAUACCGAUUUCACAGCAGUUCUAUGACUCAGACGUUGAGGAGGAAGAGGAACUUGUUGCUGGGGGCCACGGUCCAGAGCAACAGGAUCCACCACAGGGACAGAGUCCAAGGCAGGGACAGCUCAGGAUCCCUCGGGGGGGGGACCUAGAACACCUCCUCAGGCAAGUGUCAAGUUUGAGCCAAAGAGUGAACCUUCUUCACCUGCUGGACCAGCUGUAAGGCCCAAGAGGCGCAGCAGGUCAGAGGGGGAAGACACUGAAGUUGAGGAUGAUUUAGCUGGACCCAGUGAAGCAGCAGGGUCACCAAGAUUCACACUGAGGAGAUCAGCGAGGACUAGGAGGCCUCCUGAUCGGUACGAUGCUUCAAGCGUCUGGGUAGGUUCUGCAAGAUGUGAACCUGAAUCCUUCGAGGAUAUUCAGAGUUUACCUGAGGAAGAAGCAGGUAAGUGGCACAGGGCAAUGGACAAAGAGAUGAAGUCCAUGAAAGAUCUAGGUGUGUUCUCACUCACAGAGUUGCCACCGGGAAAACAGGCUGUGAGUUGUAGGUGGGUUUACCGCUUGAAACCCACUAACACUGGAGAGCCACAGUAUAAAGCUAGGUUAGUUGCUCGAGGAUUCACUCAGAGAAAGGGAAUACACUUCACGGAGGUGUAUUCGCCAACGUCACGAGCGGAGACUCUGAGAACGCUUUUAGCUUGUGCAGCACAGAGAGGCUGGAAGGUAAACCACUUUGAUGUGGAUGUUGCCUACCUAAACUCAGAUCUCCAGGAGGAGCUAUACAUGAUUCCUCCUCCGGGGUUUGAGAACUUGAGGCAGGAUGUUGUGUGGAGAUUGCACAAAUCCAUCUAUGGAUUACAUCAAUCUGCUAGAAACUGGAACAUGUGCCUGAAUGAAGCCUUAGAAGAGCUAGGUUUCAGAAGAAGUGUUGCUGAUAAUUGCUUUUAUUUGAGAGGUUCAGGUGCAACACAAGAGUAUUUGCAGAUUUGGGUUGAUGACUUGUUAUUCUUCUCAGAGACAGAUGAACAGGCAGAGAAGUUUGCCAAAGAGCUAGGUAAACGGUUCAAGCAUAAACAGCUUGGUGCUGUCAAAACCUAUCUAGGUGUCAGUGUUGAGCGUGCACAGGAUGGAAGCUUCUUGCUCAGCCAGAAAGGCAAAAUUGAGCAAUUGCUUCAGAAAUUCCGGAUGAGUGAUUGUGCAGGAGUGAAGAGUCUUAUGGAGACUAGUUUUGUGAAGGACAGCCAGCAAGUAGAACGCGCUGCGUUCGAAAAUAUUGAAGUGUUUCAGUCAGCCCUAGGGAGUUUGUUGUACUUAUCCCAGUGGAGCAGACCUGAUAUAGCAUUUGCUGUCAAUCUGCUCAGCAGGGAAGCUUCAAACCCUUGUGUGCAAGCCUGGAAUGGCAUCAAGAGAGUUCUGAGGUAUUUGCAGGAAACCAAAGACUUUUGUCUUAGGUUACCAGCACAAGGAGAAGUCAAACUGACUUGCUUUGUGGACUCGGAUUGGGCUAAUCUUGAGGAUCGCAAGUCUGUGUCUGGCCUAGUGGUGAAGUUUGGGAACUCAGUAGUUGGAUGGAGGUCCAAGAAGCAAAGUCUUAUAGCACUCUCAUCCACUGAGGCUGAGUUCAGUGCUGUUUCAGAGGUGUGCAGAGAAGUAGAGUUCUAUGCUUGCUUAGUGCAGGAACUCUGCAAAGUGGAUUGUCAACCGAUACAUGUUUUCGAAGACAAUCAACCAUGCCUGCGUUUGGCAGAGUCAGGUCAGUGCAAGGCUAGAACUAAACACCUAGACAUUCGCUUUUGGAAUGUGUGCCAGAGUGUUCAGGAGGGAUUAGUUGCGCUGAAGUAUUGUCCCUCUGCCAAGAACCUAGCUGAUGGGUUCACGAAGCCACUCCCCUUCCAAAGACAUGGGGAGUUUUGCGAAGGUCUGGGUUUGGGACGACCAAGGGUCGAUUCUCCCCUCAGGCGCAAGGCAAGAGGAGGUGUUGGGUGUAGUGAAGGGUUAACCUUCUGUGUCUCGAGCCUGAGAGGAGGCGCGUACAAGGGAAGUACGCCAGGACGUGAUGAAAGCAGCUUGGAAUGCUGUGAGCUGAGUGAAAAUCGAAAACAGGUUGUUGCGUCGCUGCACUGAGAGAGAAGGACGCAGAGAAAAUGCAGCUCCACUCUGAUGGCUGUUAUGGAUUGUAAAUACGCUAUUUUGUUCCCAAUAAAGAGAAAUUAGGAU